CUGCUGCCUUCCGUAGGAGUUUGGGCCGUGUCUCAGUCCCAAUGUGGCCGUCCACCCUCUCAGGCCGGCUACUGAUCGCUGCCUUGGUGGCCGUUACCCCGCCAACUAGCUAAUCAGACGCGGAUCCAUCGUAUACCACCGGAGUUUUUCACACUGCCCCAUGCGGAGCCGUGCGCUUAUGCGGUAUUAGCACCUAUUUCUAAGUGUUAUCCCCCGGUAUACGGCAGGUUAUCCACGCGUUACUCACCCGUCCGCCA
rnacentral:rRNA from 1 species